AACUAGGAUUCCCUUAGUAACGGCGAGUGAACCGGGAUGAGCUCAAAUUUAAAAUCUGGCGUCUUUCAGGCGUCCGAGUUGUAAUCUAUAGAGGCGUUUUCCGCGCCGGACCGCGUCCAAGUCUCUUGGAAUAGAGUAUCAAAGAGGGUGACAAUCCCGUACUUGACGCGACAACCGGUGCUCUGUGAUACGUUCUCAAUGAGUCGAGUUGUUUGGGAAUGCAGCUCUAAAUGGGUGGUAAAUUCCAUCUAAGGCUAAAUAUUGGCGAGAGACCGAUAGCGAACAAGUACCGUGAGGGAAAGAUGAAAAGCACUUUGGAAAGAGAGUUAAACAGCACGUGAAAUUGUUAAAAGGGAAACGAUUGAAGUCAGUCGUGUGAAAGGUAUUCAGCCGUCUCUGGCGGUGUAUUUGCCUUUCACGGGUCAACAUCAGUUUGAUCCGGUAGAAAAAGGCGGGAGGAAGGUGGCACCCUCGGGUGUGUUAUAGCCUCCUGUCAUAUGUGCCGGACCAGACUGAGGAACGCAGCUUGCCGCAAGGCCGGGGUUCGCCCACGUACAAGCUUAGGA
rnacentral:rRNA from 1 species